CUAGCAACAGACCAUUCUUUUUGUUAUGUGAAUUAGUGUUGCCACGACACAGCACAGUGCUCAAGGUUCUUUCAUGUUUGAGAUCUCCUUUCUGAGUACUGACAUUUCAUAUCCUUAUUGCUUCUUACAGAAGUACCCUGGAUUGCAGAAUUAUCUUUUGACUGCCUCAAGUCAGUAUGGCAAAUCUGUUAAACUACUGAAGUUAAGGAUCCAGUCAAAAGAAUCUAUGAACCAUGAUCAGUUAUCUUGGAGAAAGGGAGAGACAGCCAUAUCGUGGAGAUAUAGCUAUUAGAAGAUAGGAGGGGACCACCUGGAACCACAUUCAAGGCAAAAAGGGAGGCCCUGGGGAAUUAUCUUUACUUUGACAUCUGCAAGAAAUUCAUCAAGUAUUUAAACUUAAAGUAUGAAAGUCAAUUUUAAGUUUUCAGGACUGAUCCUUAUGAAAUUGCUCCAAUUUUGUCCUUUGACUGAGUAACCAGCCUGCAGAAGAUGGAUACAGCAGAUGAGAUGUUUGACUGCAGUAAGACUUUUAUCAUUAAAGCUUAAGCAAAUCAUGCAAUGGAGUAAAAGCAGACUGCUUCAAAAGGAGAGGUAUGUCCUGCUACUGAAGGUGUGUCCAGACCUGAGCAACUUUAAAAAGCAACUGGAGGACAACAGCAAAAACAUUCAGAAAACAUGACUUACAGGUAUGUAAUAUUGAAAGAGUUGGAUUUGGAGGAAGGCUGAAUGGACAUAAUUUCUUCCUAUGUAAAAUAUUGUUACAGAAAGAUGAGAAGCUUUACCAGUGGAGCAUAAAAUAAUCAGCUUCUAAUUUGGAGUGGAAAAAAA